CCUACGGGAGGCAGCAGUAGGGAAUCUUCCACAAUGGGCGAAAGCCUGAUGGAGCAACGCCGCGUGGGUGAAGAAGGUCUUCGGAUCGUAAAACCCUGUUGUUAGAGAAGAAAGUGCGUGAGCGUAACUGUUCACGUUUCGACGGUAUCUAACCAGAAAGCCACGGCUAACUACGUGCCAGCGGCCGCGGUAAUACGUAGGUGGCAAGCGUUAUCCGGAUUGAUUGGGCGUAAAGGGAACGCAGGCGGUCUUUUAAGUCUGAUGUGAAAGCCUUCGGCUUAACCGGAGUAGUGCAUUGGAAACUGGGAGACUUGAGUGCAGAAGAGGAGAGUGGAACUCCAUGUGUAGCGGUGAAAUGCGUAGAUAUAUGGAAGAACACCAGUGGCGAAAGCGGCUCUCUGGUCUGUAACUGACGCUGAGGUUCGAAAGCGUGGGUAGCAAACAGGAUUAGAUACCCGAGUAGUC
rnacentral:rRNA from 1 species